GAUGCAGCCAUGCCGCGUGUGUGAAGAAGGCCUUCGGGUUAUAAAGCACUUUCAGUUGUGAGGAAAAGUUAGUAGUUAAUACCUGCUAGCCGUGACGUUAACAAAAGAAGAAGCACCGGCUAACUCCGUGCCAGCAGCCGCGGUAAUACGGAGGGUGCGAGCGUUAAUCGGAAUUACUGGGCGUAAAGCGCACGCAGGCGGUUUGUUAAGCUAGAUGUGAAAGCCCCGGGCUCAACCUGGGAUGGUCAUUUAGAACUGGCAGACUAGAGUCUUGGAGAGGGGAGUGGAAUUCCAGGUGUAGCGGUGAAAUGCGUAGAUAUCUGGAGGAACAUCAGUGGCGAAGGCGACUCCCUGGCCAAAGACUGACGCUCAUGUGCGAAAGUGUGGGUAGCGAACAGGAUUAGAUACCCUGGUAGUCCACACCGUAAACGCUGUCUACUAGCUGUUUGUGACUUUAAGUCGUGAGUAGCGAAGCUAACGCGAUAAGUAGACCGCCUGGGGAGUACGGCCGCAAGGUUAAAACUCAAAUGAAUUGACGGGGGCCCGCACAAGCGGUGGAGCAUGUGGUUUAAUUCGAUGCAACGCGAAGAACCUUACCUACACUUGACAUGCAGAGAACUUUCCAGAGAUGGAUUGGUGCCUUCGGGAACUCUGACACAGGUGCUGCAUGGCUGUCGUCAGCUCGUGUCGUGAGAUGUUGGGUUAAGUCCCGCAACGAGCGCAACCCUUGUCCUUAGUUGCCAGCAUUCAGUUGGGCACUCUAAGGAGACUGCC
rnacentral:rRNA from 1 species